rnacentral:rRNA from 1 species
UACAGAGGUCUCAAGCGUUGUUCGGAUUCAUUGGGCGUAAAGGGGUGUGUAGGUGGCGCGCUAAGUCGGGUGUGAAAUUUCGGAGCUUAACUCCGAAACUGCAUUCGAUACUGCGGUGCUUGAGGACUGGAGAGGAGACUGGAAUUCAUGGUGUAGCAGUGAAAUGCGUAGAGAUCAUGAGGAAGACCAGUGGCGAAAGGCGGGUCUCUGGACAGUUCCUGACACUGAGACACGAAGGCCAGGGGAGCAAACGGG